GACGAACGCUGGCGGCGUGCUUAACACAUGCAAGUCGAACGGAAAGGCCCUGCUUGCAGGGUACUCGAGUGGCGAACGGGUGUGUAACACGUGGGUGAUCUGCCCUGCACUUCGGGAUAAGCUUGGGAAACUGGGUCUAAUACCGGAUAGGAGCCAUCUUUAGUGUGGUGGUUGGAAAGUUUUUUCGGUGUAGGAUGAGCUCGCGGCCUAUCAGCUUGUUGGUGGGGUAAUGGCCUACCAAGGCGGCGACGGGUAGCCGGCCUGAGAGGGUGUACGGCCACAUUGGGACUGAGAUACGGCCCAGACUCCUACGGGAGGCAGCAGUGGGGAAUAUUGCACAAUGGGCGCAAGCCUGAUGCAGCGACGCCGCGUGGGGGAUGAAGGCCUUCGGGUUGUAAACUCCUUUCGCUAGGGACGAAGCUUUUUGUGACGGUACCUAGAUAAGAAGCACCGGCUAACUACGUG
rnacentral:rRNA from 1 species